rnacentral:tRNA from 1 species
CCCUGGUAGCUCAGAUGAUAAAGAGUCUGUCUGCAAUGUAGGAGACGCAGGUUCAGUCCCUGCACCAGGAA